UACGGAGGGUGCGAGCGUUGUCCGGAAUCACUGGGCUUAAAGGGCGCGUAGGCGGGCCGCCAAGUCAGGGGUGAAAGCCUCCAGCUUAACUGGAGAAGUGCCUCUGAUACUGGCGGCCUCGAGGGAGAUAGGGGCGUGCGGAACUUCCGGUGGAGCGGUGAAAUGCGUAGAUAUCGGAAGGAACACCGGUGGCGAAAGCGGCGCGCUGGAUCUCUUCUGACGCUGAGGCGCGAAAGCCAGGGGAGCGAACGGG
rnacentral:rRNA from 1 species